UUUAUUCGGUUCACUCCUAAGUUCACCGCUAAAGUAACAGCUAAUAAAAAUUUAUCAAUAUAUAUUCUAUCUAUACGCACGAAAAUAAAAACAAGAGAGAGAGAUAAAGUUUUUCUAUGGUCUCUCCCCACCCCGCCGUCAAACCCUAGUUUCAGACAUCUCAACCGUUUGUUUCAAGGAGGCCAACGACACAGUUUUCGCCAUUGGUCUCCUGCUCUGACAGUUUCUUCGCGUCCUAGCCACACCCAUCGAUCCUAUCUUACUGCAUCGCUUCCUUCUUGUCCCUGUGACUCUGGAUCUCUGCAUCGUCAGACCUAAUCAAAAGUGGAAGUUCGUGCUUCUCUUUCCUGGAGCGCAGGAGAGGUCGCGAGUGUUUGAGACCAUCGGUGGCCUUGAUCUUCUGACCUCUUAGUGUGUCGGAUCUGGGUCAGAUCUGAAUCUCUAGUCAUCGAGUUUAGGUUGAGAGCGUAGCUACCUCGUCUCCUUUCUCCGACCAUCCUCCCGACGAGUUGAGUUACGAAGAUUCAAAGGGUGUAGAGUCUCUCCUCAGGGGAUUCAUCCUCAGAGAGCAGCGGGGCAGUGGUCUCUGUUGAGGUUCUCUGUAUCUAGUUUCAAGUAUUAUCUCCAUGGCUUUCUCCUGUCAAUUUUGGUUCAGUUCUCUCUUUUUGUGUUUUGGGUGGUUGGAUGCUUAGGGUUCUCUGAGGACAGUCCCUAUGCCUCUAUCUCUUGAUAUCGAACAAUUGAGAAUUUCAAUUGGUGGGAUUAGCCUGUUAUGAGGGUCUUCAUCUCCAUCUUCAAGCUCUGACAUCUAGGCACUGUCAGAAAGCUACUUUCCGAGUGGCUUUGGGUUUGGUUUCAACGAAUUCCCUCAUCAGCUAGCACCGAAGUGUAGGCCAGGCUCCCGUCGUUGCUGCUUGAGAGACCUUUGGGUUAGUCUUCGACAAACUGUUCCCGCUUAGCCAACUCCUAUUCUCAGCAGAUUUCGAUCAGCAAAGGGUUUAGGAAGCGCUUGAGUUAGGAGCUUAGUUGAUACUUGUUCCUAAACUUUAGUUCUAAGUUUGUUUUUGCAAUAUUUUUAGAUCUUCCAUUGAUGCUAUAGGUUCUUUUACUUUUUGUGGCCUUUAGGAUCAGAUCAGCUCUUGAGCAAUCUAGGAUUUCAAUUUCCAUUGUAAUCAAAUUAUUAUUAUUAUUCAGUUAAUGAUA